AAACCAUGAUGUGGGCAUUUCCUCAAUAGCUCCUUUAAUCUUUCCCAUAUCUCGUACAAUGAUUCCUCGUCUUCUUGAGAGUAGGUGUUCAUUUCGGUCAUGAGUUU
rnacentral:snoRNA from 1 species